CUUUGUUACUCUUUUCCUGUCUUCCUCUGGGUUAUUUCAAUGUUUUCUAACACUGUAUUUCGCUUUAUUUAUGUUUGAGUAUCUCUUUGUAGAGGUUUUUUUUUAAGUAGUCGCUAAAGGAAUUACAAUAUAAAUAUGUAAUUUAUCACAGUCUAUUAGUAUAGAUAUUUUACCACAUCAAGUUAAAUGUAGGAAGCUCACCCAUUUUCUCCCUUUAUUCUAUCUCCUGUAUAAUUCCAUUUUCUUAAAUAUUUCUUCUAUAGAUAUAGAUAAAAACAUAAGACAGUGCUGUCGUUUUGCUUUUAACUUUCUAACACGAUUUCAAAGACUCAAGAAGAAAAGGAUAGUCUAUCAUAUUUACCCAAUCUGUUGUUCUUUCUUUAUUUCGAUGUUCCAAGUUUCCUUCUGUUAUCAUUUCCUUUCUGCUGAAAACAUCUUCCAGCAAUUCUUUUAAGGCAGUUCUUUUGACAACAAAUUAUCUUAGUUUAUCUGAGAAUAUCUUUGUUUCACCUUCAUUCCUGAAGCCUAUUUUCUCUGGAUAUAGAAUUUGGGGUUGACAGUUCAUUUCUUUCAGUACUGGGGAAAUCUUAUGCCAUUUUCUUGUGAUCCUCAUGAUUUCUGAUGAGAAAUCUGCUGUCAUUCAAAUUGCUUUCCCCCUGUAGGUAAUGUGUCACUUCUCUCUGGCUGCUUUGAAGAUUCUUUCUUUGUCUUUAGUUUCCAAAAGGUUAUGUCUUCUGCCAAAUUUGGGAUGUUUUUCAACCAUUAUUUCUUUUUUUGUUUGUUUGUUUGGGUUUUUUUUUAACUGUUAUUUCUUUAAGUGUAUUUUUUAAAUUCCACAUUCUUUCUUCUCUCCUUCUGGGACUCUAAUGACAUGAUUUUUUGUGACAGUGCCACAGGCCCCCAAGCUCUGUUUAUUUUUUCAUUCUAUUUUAUCUAUUGUUCAGACCGGGUAAUUUCUAUUGAACCAGUUAUAAAUUUACUGGGUCUUUCCUCUAUCACCUCCAUUGUGUCAUUGAGCCCCUCCAGUGAGCUUUUUAAAAAGUAAGUUUUGGGAGUUCCCAUCAUGGUGCAGCAGAAAUAAAGCCGACUAGUAUCCAGAGGAUGCAGGUUCAAUCCCUGGCUUCACUCAGUGGGUCGGGGACCCAUCAUUGCCAUGAGCUGUGGUUUAGGUCACAGAUGUGGCUCAGAUCCUGUGUUGCUAUGGCUGUGUCACAGGCCAGCAGCUAUAGAUCUGAUUCGACCCCUAGCCUGGGAAUUUCUAUAUGCCAUGGGUGUGGCCCUAAAAAAUUUCAAUUUUUUUUUUUUUAGUUCUAGAAUUUUUACUCAGGUUUUUUUUUUGGUGUCAUUUUUUUUUCAUUUGUUUCAGAAUGUUUAUAAUUAGCCACUCUAGCAGUUUUAUGAUGGUUGAGUUAAAAUCCCUGUCAGAUAAUUCCAACAUCUGAGUCAUUUUGUGUUGGCAUCUGCUGAACCUCUCUUCUCAUUCUAGUUGAGGUUUUACCCUGGUUCUUUGUUGGUGAGUGAUUUCCAAUUGUAUCCUGGAAAAUUUACAUAUUAUAUAAUGAGACUGUGGUUCCUAAUUACUUCUUGUUACUCAUUACUGUCUGGCCAUGAUGAUAGUCAGGGCUCUGUUUACAGACAUAGCCUCUGCAGAUUUCCACUAGGUAGGAGAAGAAGAGACAUUGCCUCCUAAUUGUUGAGCCAAGAUGGUUCUGAGGGCUUUGCUAAAACAUUCCCUCCACAGAGGCCCACCUGGUGAUAGAGGGCCUUGCCUCAUUACUGCUGGGCUGGAAUGGUGGUCAAGGUUCUGCUCAUACACAGCAUCUGUUCAUGCCUUUCUAUCAGGAGGCAGAAGGUUGCUGCCUUAUUACUGCCAGACUGGGAUGGUAGUCAGGGCUCUGCUCACACAGUCCUAGUGUUGGCUGUCAUGCACAGUUGGGUUGGAGAGGACACACACUUUUUGUGGUGUUCAGGUGGUGUAAGGCUCGUGUGUCAAAAAAAUUUUGUUCUGCAAGGGUUUCUAUUCUCUCAGUCCUUUGUGUAGAGAAAGAAAGCUUAACUUGUUUUAUGGUUUUCUUUUGAUUUGACUUUUCUGUGCUUGGUGUUUCUGGCUUACGAGCUUCUAUGGUACCCUGGCCAAGAAACAGAGGAAGCAAAAUGGUCGUUCUUCACAUUCCAAGGUUCCUAGAUAGACCACAUUUUUUUCUUUAAUUUUUGGUUACUUCUGAUAUUUGCUUCAUAUAGUUUUUCUAGGGUUUUUUGGGGAAAAGUGAAUUGUGUUUAUUCCAUUUCAUUAUUUUAACAAGAAAAAUUACUAUUUUUUCAUUUCAACUUAAGAUACUGAAGAAAUAUCCACAGAGAGACUAUAUAUCUAUCUAUCUAAAUUUCAAAUAAAACAAAUUUCUAUAAAUAAUAAACAACUUGAAAGUAAAUAAAUCCAAUUUGUACAUAAACAUCAUAUCAUGAAGGUUUAGUGUUCUUUUCAUAGGAAGAAGAGAAGAUGUGAUAGAAGUGGUAGGUCAUGGAGGAAGGAUACAGGGAAUCAUUCUUUGUAAGCUGUACUUUAUUUUUCUCUACCAUUUUCCUCAUUAAUUUUUCAACUUAUUUGGGCUCAUGGUUAUCUUACAUUCAAAGUACCUUAAAACUAUAGCAUAGAAAAACACCUCCAGGACAAAGUAAAGAUGGAGCAAAAGAGUACUUUGGAAGCAUGGAAGUAGCACAUAUGAACCACAGAGAACAGUUGCAGAAGAUGCUAGGUCUUCAUCCUUCCUGCUAUGUCUGCAUAUGCAAGGCAAAACAUUUUGGGUUCAUCUGCACAUGGUGUGAAAUAUAAAUUUGUUCAAAUGACAUUCUCAAACUAAAAACUGAUGUGUCAAUUAAUUUGGUGAAUGUGUCUUUUCCUGGAAUUAUAAUGUCAAAAUAUCAUUUCUUUUUUUAAAAUGACUUUUAUUAAAAUAUCACUUCUUAUAGUAUUUUUGCUUAGUGUUUGGGGUGAGAAAAUUAUUAUACCAAAAUAAAAUAGGUUAAAUAGAGGAAUAAGUUAAAAAAAAGAAACCACUGCUCCAAAAGUGAUAUUAAGUGUCUAAUUGCUGUUAUGACAAAAAGUAAUUGAACAGUCAUUACAAGAAGUCGAUUUAUAUAUUUAAAGCCUGAAUCAUGCUGAAAUAGCUAAAGUUCUUUUUACAGAAGUAGGGAUAUUUGGUACAACUUCACUUGUAUUCCCUGAGGUCAUCUCAGGAAGGAAAGAAGAUAGGCUCUAGUUGGAUGACAUUUUUGGAGGAAAUCAGUGUUUUGUUUUGGUUUUUGUUUUUUUAGUUAAGAAGUAGAUUUAUUGGAGUUCCUGUUGUGGCGCAGUGGUUAACGAAUCCGACUAGGAACCAUGAGGUUGCGGGUUCGGUCCCUGCCCUUGCUCAGUGUGUUAACGAUCCAGCGUUGCCGUGAGCUGUGGUGUAGGUUGCAGACGCGGCUCGGAUCCUGCUUUGCUGUGCCUCUGGCGUAGGCCGGUGGCUACAGCUCCAAUUCAACCCCUAGCCUGGGAACCUCCAUAUGCCGCGGGAGCGGCCCAAGAAAUAGCAACAACAACAACAACAACAAAAGACAAAAAGACAAAAAAAAAAAAAAAAAAGAAGUAGAUUUAUUGAGAGAGACAGAGUGUGGGCCAUCUCAGAAGGCAAGAGCAGCCUGGAAGAUACACAUUCCAUAGGCAGAUGUGAUCUGUCCCAAAAAGCAAGAAAGCAGCUGGACAUCAGUGAUUAUUGAGUAUACCUCAUGGCUCUCAUUUACAUUCAUCUCCAUCCCAACUCUGGGUGAUACUGUUACUGGAGAGAAGAGGGCCAUACGUAAAAGCCAUUUUGUUAAGGUUUCUGAAAGACUCAGGGUUACAAACAUCAAUCUUUCAAAUUGUAACAAAGAGGAGGGAGCACUACAUUUUCCUUUUCCUCUCCACAUAUUGGGCCCUGCCAUGAGUCUGGUGACUCCACAAUAGGCCUGACCAGUGUAGAGCAGUGAUGGGAGAUUCUGGUGAAAAGGGGAAAGCAGCAUUUCUGGGCAAGUGUGGUGCAUAGCAUUAAUGACCACAAUACUUUAUCAUUCUUUGCAUCUUUACCCUUUGCCAUUAAGAGGCGGAACAUACUUCUUGAUUCUGGGUUCAGCCAUGUUACUCUUUUGUUCAAUAGAGUGAGGCAGAAGUGAUGAUGUACUAGCCUCAAGUAUCCUUUCUCAUUCUUUUGCCAGUGCCACAAGAUAAAGCAUGCCUAGGAUAGCCAUUAGCCUCACAUGGCGCAUAGCUGAAGCAUCCCAACUGGACCCAGCUUAGAUUAGCCAAUCUCUAGUCAAGAAAUGUGAGAAUCCCAGCCUAGAUCAGCCAAUACUCAUCAUACCCCCAAGUUGCAUGAAUGAUAAAUAUUAUUACAGCUGAAUGCCAUGGAGGUUUUUGAGUCAAUAUGCUAUGCAGAAAUAUCGUGGAAAUAAGUAGCUGAUGCAGUAGGAAAGCCUCCUUCAUGAGCGCAUAAAGAACAUCUCCUGAAGGACCACUUGUAGAGAAGCCCUCUAUCAGUGAUGGGAUAAGAGCUAAUGGAAUUGGAUUCAUUACCAUGAAGGUGAUUCCCAUUAGUAUAUCCACUGUGCUAUGGGUAUUGAAAAAUAUUCUGUCUAUAGGGGUUGAUAAAGAGUUUCAAAGGCCUGUGUCAGGCUAUAUAUAUGUAAAAAAAAUCCAUCAAACUUGAGAUUAUUUGAUUUCGUUGUAUGUAAGUUAUGUCUCAUUUUUUUAAAAAAUAAAUAAAACAGGAAAGGAAAGAAAGCCAAUGCCAUUAUAACCCAGGGUCUUCUUUUAAACUGAAAUCUAGCAAGAAAAAAAUGAAGGGACCCUGUGUACAUCUCAAAUGUGCCAGGCCCUGCUGAGAUGAGCCUCUUACUAGUCCUCGGCACCGUAUUGCAGGAGCAGGAGGGUCAUGCACUGUUCUACAGCUUGCUCAUUUAUGAGUGUGUGGCAUGCCACAAAGGAUGAGAAUGGGGCUAACUCAGAAAUCUAUCAUCAUCAGAGAUGGGACCAUGUCUGGACAGCCAGUCAGCAGGCAGGCUGAGACAGCCGGGCCUGCAAAAUGAGGACUCCGUGAGGCAAAUAAAUAAUCAUCAGGCUUCUUCGGCAGAGGCACUGCUCCAGCAGUCCACCUGAACAGCUGUGGCGUGCUCCCGACCAGGAAGCAUUAGCAGUAUCCCUGUGAUUCCCUUAUUAGAGUAAGCAUUCCCUAGCUGACCACAGAAGGAAGGAAUUUAAGAAUAUCCUCCCUCCAACCUCCAUCCUCUUCUCUUGUCCACGCAUUCUCUUUCUUAAGCCUGUUUACUUCCUCCGUCUCCUCUCCUUUCUUUUCCAAGGACCCACACUGAUGUCUACAGCUGGCUUAUCAGUAUCAACACAUUAAUUUUUUUUUAAAGUUAAAUCUUGAAGCACCAUGUGCCUGUGGUUAAAUCGACUGGAGGUAAGACAACUACCCACAUUCAGGGCAACUAGUGGCAUAGACAGCUGACUGUGAAAAAGGGUGCUUUCUGUUUUCUUCUGCACUGCUCUGCACUCUGGAACUGGCAGCCUGUAAUUAAUUGUCGCGUUGCCUUCUAUCAACUGGAGCAGGAAGAAAAAAAAAAUCUCUGGAGAUAGCAGUGGUGGAAUAGAAAGAACAGUGGGCUCUGUCUCCAAUGAUCAGAAUGUGAAUCUUGGUCUUGACUUACUAGGUGUGGAACAUUAGGCUCUGGUUACUCAAAGUGUGGUCGAUGGACCAGGAGCAUGAGCACCCCAUGAGUCUCAGGACUCAUCUUAACACUACCAUAUUCAAAUCUGCAUUUUAACACGAUCCCCACGUGGAGUGUUCCUAUCAUGGCUCGGCGGUAAUGAACCCAACUAGGAACCAUGAGGUUGCAGGUUCAAUCCCUGGCCUUGCUCGGUGGGUUAAGGAUCCAGUGUUGCCAUGAGCUGUGGUGGAGGUUGCAGA
rnacentral:lncRNA from 1 species